GUUGAUUACGUCCCUGCCCUUUGUACACACCGCCCGUCGCUAUCCGGGACUGAACUGAUUCGAGUAAGAGUGGGGACUGUGGCUGCGAGGUUUUACCACUUCGCAGUUGCGGAAACCAUUUUUAUCGCAUUGGUUUGAACCGGGUAAAAGUCGUAACAAGGUAGCUGUAGGUGAACCUGCAGCUGGAUCAUCG
rnacentral:ncRNA from 1 species